CCAAUAGCGUAUAUUAAAGUUGUUGCAGUUAAAAAGCUCGUAGUUGAAUUUCGAGACCGGUUUACUGGUCGUGCUUUUGUACGUACUGGUAUUAUUGGUUUCUCCUUUCUGACGAAUCAUAAUGCCAUUAAUUUGGUGUUUUGGGGAAUCAGGACUGUUACUUUGAAAAAAUUAGAGUGUUUAAAGCAGGUUCACGCUUGAAUACAUUAGCAUGGAAUAACGAAAUAGGACGUUUGAUUUUAUUUUGUUGGUUUCUAGGAUCGACGUAAUGAUUAAUAGGGAUAGUUGGGGGCAUUAGUAUUCAAUUGUCAGAGGUGAAAUUCUUGGAUUUAUUGAAGACUAACUACUGCGAAAGCAUUUGCCAAGGAUGUUUUCAUUAAUCAAGAACGAAAGUUAGGGGAUCGAAGACGAUCAGAUACCGUCGUAGUCUUAACCAUAAACUAUGCCGACUAGGGAUCGGAUGAUGUUAAUUUUUUAAUGACUCAUUCGGCGCCUUACG
rnacentral:rRNA from 1 species